rnacentral:misc_RNA from 1 species
UUCAACCCAACCAGGGAAAGGUUCUUUGUAAGUACUGGUUAUAAUGGUGGGACGUAAGAUAACUACAGACAAAUUCUCCUUCAAGUGUCCAACAAGCAUCUCUCCCAUUGCUUUUGUAAAUACAUAUGUGUUGGGCCAUCCAUAGACCUUUGCCCUUUGGAUGCCCAUAUCUUUCAUGGCUUCUUUAAUUGCUUCAUUUGAGGCACCUUGAGCUUGGAGUUCAGUUAAUUUUUCAUCGAUAAGUUUCUUCUCUUCAUCAAUGUCUAAUCCAGAGAGGCCAUUAAGUGUCUCACCCAUUCGAUAAGGGGUCUCCAGUAUCAAUCCUGCCUUCUCCCCACAAACAUAAGCAGUGGAUACAUGGACAAGAACUUUGAGAUUAACACAUUUCUUGGCGAAGCAUAAGACAUGCUUGGCUCCCAUUGUGUUGAUACCAAGUGCAACAUCAUAUCUUUCAUCAAAGUUGGUUGUUGCAGCUAAAUUAACAAUUACAUCCAAUUCUCUCCACAUCUCAUCCUUUAAAUAGGAUUCUUUUACCCCAAGGUCCACACCAUAAGAUAUGUCUCCAGGGACAAGAACUAUCUUUUUAGAGAUAAAAGAAUUUAGAUUUGCACCCCAUUUUUCUUUUACCAGUCUAAACAAGUCCUUCCCUAUAACCUCAUUGUGCAAUCGUUGAGAGGCACAUUUAGCAUCUGCAGCUCUUAAAAGAAGAUACAACUUCUUCACAUUUGGUUGCUCUCUCAAUAUCUUCUCCACAAAAAUCUUUGCUAAAAACCCAGUUGCACCAGUGACCAUAAUAUUCUUGUUUUCAAGAAAUUGCAGUACACUUCCAAAUUCCAUUUUUGAACACAGAGACAGAGAGAG